UGGGAGGGGGGCUUGCUCCCGAUAGCGGUGUGUCAGUCACUUCAUCUGUCACUGAUCCACCGCUAUCGGGAGCAAGCCCCCUCCCAC
rnacentral:misc_RNA from 1 species